rnacentral:rRNA from 1 species
CAGCAGCCGCGGGAAUACAGAGGGUGCUAGCGUUAAUCGGAUUUACUGGGCGUAAAGCGUGCGUAGGCGGCUUCUUAAGUCGGAUGUGAAAUCCCUGAGCUUAACUUAGGAAUUGCAUUCGAUACUGGGAAGCUAGAGUAUGGGAGAGGAUGGUAGAAUUCCAGGUGUAGCGGUGAAAUGCGUAGAGAUCUGGAGGAAUACCGAUGGCGAAGGCAGCCAUCUGGCCUAAUACUGACGCUGAGGUACGAAAGCAUGGGGAGCAAACAGGAUUAGAUACCCCUGUAGUCCCUGUCUCUUAUAA